AUUUCUUUUCAGUCUUUUGGUUAAGAGCAAGUGUAGUGUUUGUUUUUAUUGCUUUAAUAUUUUGUGUGUUCUCUAAUUGAGAAUGUUUUAUUGAACAGUUUUUUAGUGCAGGGAGCUGAGCUAGGGGCUUGUUUUUUUCUGCUUUACAUAUCAGCCUGGUAUUAUAGUAUUUCCAGGAGUAGUGCCUUGUUC